rnacentral:rRNA from 1 species
GCAGUCUGGUGCCAGCAGCCGCGGUAAUUCCAGCUCCAAUAGCGUAUAUUAAAGUUGUUGCAGUUAAAAAGCUCGUAGUUGAACUUUGGGCUUGGUCAGCCGGUCCGCUUUUUUGCGUGUACUGGUCCUGACCGAGCCUUUCCUUCUGGCUAACCUGUCUCUCGGGGCAGGCGAACCAGGACUUUUACUUUGAAAAAAUUAGAGUGUUCAAAGCAGGCCUUUGCUCGAAUAUAUUAGCAUGGAAUAAUAGAAUAGGACGUUUGGUUCUAUUUUGUUGGUUUCUAGGACCAUCGUAAUGAUUAAUAGGGACGGUCGGGGGCAUCAGUAUUCAAUUGUCAGAGGUGAAAUUCUUGGAUUUAUUGAAGACUAACUACUGCGAAAGCAUUUGCCAA